rnacentral:misc_RNA from 1 species
GGAUGGAAGAUCAGAUCAAGCAAUCAGAUUUGAAACUGAAAUCUCAAUUACAAAAUUUGCCUUGUUAAUUAUAAGAGUUCAUUCAGGGAACUUGCAAGAGCUGAGGCAAGGCAACAGAGGGCGGCUCAAGUAGUAGUAACAACUAUGAAGGUGGUAACAAUAGAAUUGAUGGAAAAACAAAAGCGAGACCUAGGGCAAGGGUAGUAUCAAGGUAUACGAAGUUGGAUUUUCCAACGUUUGAUGGAUCCGAAGAUUCGUUGAUUUGAUUACACCGAUGUGAAUAAUUUUUU